rnacentral:rRNA from 1 species
UACGUAGGCAGCGAGCGUUGUUCGGAGUUACUGGGCGUAAAGGGUGUGUAGGCGGUUUUAGUGGGUGUGAUGUGAAAGCCCCUGGGCUUAACCUAGGAAGCGCAUCGCAAAACUACUGAACUGGAGUAGAUGAGAGGGUGGCGGAAAUUUCCGGUGUAGCGGUGAAAUGCGUAGAGAUCGGAAGGAACGUCGAUGGCGAAGGCAGCCACCUGGCAUCAUACUGACGCUGAGGCGCGAAAAGCGUGGGGGAGCGAACAGG